rnacentral:misc_RNA from 1 species
UCUGCCUUAUCGGCUAGCGGUCCCACUAAAGUGCCCAACUUAAUGCUGGCAACUAGUGGCAAGGGUUGCGCUCGUUGCGGGACUUAACCCAACAUCUCACGACACGAGCUGACGACAGCCAUGCAGCACCUGUCUCCACGUCCCUUGCGGGAACCCUGGCUUUCACCAGGUAGCGUGGGAUGUCAAACCCAGGUAAGGUUUUUCGCGUUGCAUCGAAUUAAACCACAUACUCCACCGCUUGUGCGGGCCCCCGUCAAUUUCUUUGAGUUUUAACCUUGCGGCCGUAAUCCUCAGGCGGGGUACUUAACGCGUUAGCUUCGACACCGAGAGGGUAAGAACUCCCGACAUCUAGUACCCAUCGUUUACAGCGUGGACUAC